CAGGAUGAACGCUAGCUACAGGCUUAACACAUGCAAGUCGAGGGGCAGCAUUUUAGUUUGCUUGCAAACUGAAGAUGGCGACCGGCGCACGGGUGAGUAACACGUAUCCAACCUGCCGAUAACUCCGGAGUAGCCUUUCGAAAGAAAGAUUAAUACCGGAUAGCAUACGAAUAUCGCAUGAUAUUUUUAUUAAAGAAUUUCGGUUAUCGAUGGGGAUGCGUUCCAUUAGUUUGUUGGCGGGGUAACGGCCCACCAAGACAACGAUGGAUAGGGGUUCUGAGAGGAAGGUCCCCCACAUUGGAACUGAGACACGGUCCAAACUCCUACGGGAGGCAGCAGUGAGGAAUAUUGGUCAAUGGGCGAGAGCCUGAACCAGCCAAGUAGCGUGAAGGAUGAAGGCUCUAUGGGUCGUAAACUUCUUUUAUAUGGGAAUAAAGUUUUCCACGUGUGGAAUUUUGUAUGUACCAUAUGAAUAAGGAUCGGCUAACUCCGUGCCAGCAGCCGCGGUAAUACGGAGGAUCCGAGCGUUAUCCGGAUUUAUUGGGUUUAAAGGGAGCGUAGGUGGAUUGUUAAGUCAGUUGUGAAAGUUUGCGGCUCAACCGUAAAAUUGCAGUUGAAACUGGCAGUCUUGAGUACAGUAGAGGUGGGCGGAAUUCGUGGUGUAGCGGUGAAAUGCUUAGAUAUCACGAAGAACUCCGAUUGCGAAGGCAGCUCACUAGACUGUCACUGACACUGAUGCUCGAAAGUGUGGGUAUCAAACAGGAUUAGAUACCCUGGUAGUCCACACAGUAAACGAUGAAUACUCGCUGUUUGCGAUAUACAGUAAGCGGCCAAGCGAAAGCAUUAAGUAUUCCACCUGGGGAGUACGCCGGCAACGGUGAAACUCAAAGGAAUUGACGGGGGCCCGCACAAGCGGAGGAACAUGUGGUUUAAUUCGAUGAUACGCGAGGAACCUUACCCGGGCUUAAAUUGCAACAGAAUAUAUUGGAAACAGUAUAGCCGUAAGGCUGUUGUGAAGGUGCUGCAUGGUUGUCGUCAGCUCGUGCCGUGAGGUGUCGGCUUAAGUGCCAUAACGAGCGCAACCCUUAUCUUUAGUUACUAACAGGUGAUGCUGAGGACUCUAGAGAGACUGCCGUCGUAAGAUGUGAGGAAGGUGGGGAUGACGUCAAAUCAGCACGGCCCUUACGUCCGGGGCUACACACGUGUUACAAUGGGGGGUACAGAAGGCGGCUACCUGGUGACAGGAUGCUAAUCCCAAAAACCUCUCUCAGUUCGGAUCGAAGUCUGCAACCCGACUUCGUGAAGCUGGAUUCGCUAGUAAUCGCGCAUCAGCCAUGGCGCGGUGAAUACGUUCCCGGGCCUUGUACACACCGCCCGUCAAGCCAUGAAAGCCGGGGGUACCUGAAGUACGUAACCGCAAGGAGCGUCCUAGGGUAAAACUGGUAAUUGGGGC
rnacentral:rRNA from 1 species